rnacentral:ncRNA from 2 species
GGCGACCCACACGGGAGUGCACGCCAAGUGCGCUGAGAGGACGGCUGGCGCCGUCGACCGUACGAACCUGACCGGAUCAUGCCGGCGUAGGGAGUGAAAUAGAUGAGUAC